CGCGAAACCUUUACACUGCACGAGAGUGCGAUAAGGGGACUCCCAGUGCGAGGGCAUACAGUCCUCGCUUUUCUGGACCGUAGGGAGGUCCAGGAGCAAGUGCUGGGCAAGACCGGUGCCAGCCGCCGCGGUAAUACCGGCAGCACGAGUGAUGGCCGAUAUUAUUGGGCCUAAAGCGUCCGUAGCCGGCCAGACAAGUCCGUUGGGAAAUCCACGUGCUCAACACGUGGGCGUCCAGCGGAAACUGUCUGGCUUGGGGCCGGAAGACCCAAGGGGUACGUCCGGGGUAGGAGUGAAAUCCCGUAAUCCUGGACGGACCGCCGAUGGCGAAAGCACCUUGGGAGGACGGACCCGACGGUGAGGGACGAAAGCCAGGGUCUCGAACCGGAUUAGAUACCCGGGUAGUCCUGGCCGUAAACGAUGUCCGCUAGGUGUGGCGCAGGCUACGAGCCUGCGCUGUGCCGUAGGGAAGCCGUGAAGCGGACCGCCUGGGAAGUACGUCUGCAAAGAUGAAACUUAAAGGAAUUGGCGGGGGAGCACUACAACCGGAGGAGCCUGCGGUUUAAUUGGAAUCA
rnacentral:rRNA from 1 species